rnacentral:rRNA from 1 species
UACGAAGGGGGCUAGCGUUGUUCGGAAUUACUGGGCGUAAAGCGCGUGUAGGCGGGUCUUUAAGUCAGGGGUGAAAUGCCAGGGCUCAACCUUGGAACUGCCUUUGAUACUGGAGACCUUGAGUCCGGGAGAGGUGAGUGGAAUUGCGAGUGUAGAGGUGAAAUUCGUAGAUAUUCGCAAGAACACCAGUGGCGAAGGCGGCGAUCUGGGUCGAUACUGACGCUGAGGUGCGAAAGCGUGGGGAGCAAACAGG